rnacentral:siRNA from 1 species
UUAGUAGGCCCAGGAUAGU